rnacentral:rRNA from 1 species
AACGAACGCCUGGCGGCAGGCUUAACACAUGCAAGUCGCACGACAAUGCUCUGGUUUCAGCCGGGGCAAGUACCAGUGUGCGGACUGGUGCCUAUCGCGUAAAUGACCUGCCCUCACGCGCAGGGACAGUCACGGGAAACCGUGGCUAAUACCUCACGUCGUCUGGACCCCGCAUGGCGACCAGAUGACCGCUUGGGGUUACCCAGUCGCCUUUGGAUGGGUCUGCCUUGGAUUAGCUUGUUGGUGAGGCAACGGCUCACCUCGGCCACGAUCCAUACUCUGGUCUGACACGAACAUCAACCGCACUGGGACUGAGACACUGCCCAAACUCCUACGGGAGGCAGCUCUGGGGAAUCUUGCUGAAUGGGGUCACCCCUGAUGCCGCCAUGCCCCGUGGACGAAGACAACCCUAUGGGGCGUAAACUCCUUUUCUGAACCAAAAAACCCCUGUACGUUCACGGCGCGACGGUAGUUCCUGAAUAUGCACCGGCUAACUCCGUGCCAACGGCCGCUGUAAUACCGAUGGUGCCAGCGUUGUCCGGAAUCACUGCGUGUAAAGGGUGUGCCUGCAGGGCAGCAAGUCCGAUGUGAGACCACAUGGCUUAACCAUGGAGGUGCAUUCUAAACUGUUGCUCUUGAGUCCCGAACAGGCUGUCCGAAUUCGUGGUGUAGCAGUGAAAUGCAUACAUAUCGCCAAGAACACCAGAGGCGAAAGCGGGCAGCUGGACUGGUACUGACGCUCAUGCACGAUAUCUUGUGGAGCAUACAGGAUUAGAUACCCUGGUAGUCCACGCUGUAAACGAUGAACGCUCGCCGUUGCCCCGCUCAAGGGGCAGUGGGUAAGUGAAGGAGUUAAGCGUUCCAGCUGGGGAGUAGGAUAGCAAGGUUGAAAGUCAAAGGAAUAGAGGAGGGCCCGCACAAGCGGUGGAGCAUGUGGGUCAAUUGGAUGCAACGAGAAGAACCUUACAUUGGCUCGAACGCUAGAGGACCGCUCUUGAAAGGGAGCUUCCCCUUUGGGGCCUGUAGGGAGGUACUGCAUGGAGGUGGUGAGCUGGUGUCGUGAGAUGGUGGGUUAAGUCCCGCAACGAGGGUAACCCAUGAGGGUAGUUACCAUCGGGUAGUGCCGGGGACUCUAGCGAAAAUGCUUGGGCAAGCAGUGAGGAAGGUGGGGAUGAAGGCAAGUCAUCAUGGUCGUUAUGCUUAGGGUUGCACAGGUGGUACAAUGGCCGGUACAACGGGUAGGCACGUGGGGAGAGGGAGCGAAUGCCUGAAAACCGGUCACAGUUCGGAUUGGAGUCUGCAAGUAGACUCCAAGAAGCAGGAAUGGAUAGUAAUUGGGGAUCAGCAAUGCAGCGGCGAAUCGGUUCGAGGGCGUUGUACGCACCGCCAGUCAAGCCAUGGAAGAUGAGAGCACCUGAAGUCCGUAACUGAAGUCCGGCCAUGCGUCGGAGAGACAGCGGACCAAAGGUAAGCUCAGUAACUGAGGGU